UACGGAGGGUGCAAGCGUUAUCCGGAUUUACUGGGCGUAAAGGGCGCGUAGGCGGCCGAUCAAGUCAGAUGUGAAAGUCCUAGGCUUAACCUGGGGACUGCAUUUGAUACUGAUUGGCUUGAAUUCGGGAGAGGAUAGCGGAAUUCCCAGUGUAGAGGUGAAAUUCGUAGAUAUUGGGAAGAACACCGGUGGCGAAGGCGGCUAUCUGGACCGACAUUGACGCUGAGGCGCGAAAGCGUGGGGAGCAAACAGG
rnacentral:rRNA from 1 species